AUGCUUGUUAGAGCUCGGAAAUUGAUACGAACACAAUUUUCACAAUAACGUGCUAAGCCGCCACAGAAAAACCAAAUAUUUCACAGACGACGGGUACAGCGUUGUGUGUUACUAUCUUUAUUAUAGGUAUAAUACUGCAGUGCCAUUGGGACGUUUAUUAGAUUCUGGACGGAAAGAUGAAUGUAUAUUGAUUUUACAAUGAUAAAAAUGGAUUCUUUUUGCAGCGUGCGUUUUUUGUUGUUGUAAAUACACGUUUAAUAUGUAAUAUAUUUCGAUCUUAAAUUUUUAA